UUGAUCAGUUUAGGAGGGGAGAAUGGAGAGAGAGGGAGCGAUUGUGAGGGAAAGAAAGCUAGACCAGGGUUAUCGGUGUGGAUCGCACACAAGAAAGAGACUGCUAACGGAUGAGACACGUUUUAAGCGAUUCCGUAAAAUGGAUUUCUGCAUAAACUGCAUUUUUAAAUUAGGAAUUACAGCCAGGUUCUUCUGUGUGACACACUGCGGGAGGUAAAGAUGGACGCUGAAAUUACAACAUUGUUUUGAGCACAACAGAAAUUGCCUUUUUUCUUCUUGUUCCAUGUUUUUAUGGAGUAUUUGCCAGUCCAAAUACAGAUGCUUAAAGAGUUUUGGUCCUGUUAGCUGUCCGUGAGUCCAUUUUGUCUCCAUGACACCUGCAGCAGCAUCUGGCUCAUCGGACAAAGCCUUCGUCCAACUGAACCAGGAGCUUGGUCUGUUUCCUCUUUUGCAUGCUAUCCUCCUUUCCUUUCACCCAACCUCUCUCCUUUUCCUCUCUCUCUUUCUCUGUCUUUCGCUUGCUCUCUUCCCCUCCAACCCUUCCUCUCUAGUGAUUUACCUCCGGUGAUUUGUAUUAAUUAUUGGCCUCUUUAAUAUUAUUGGAUGUCUUUUAGACUUGUCAAGAAUUGCAAGUAACUAUUCUACUUUUCUGAUGUAGAUUAGUGUUAAAGCACAGAGGAAAAUUGCAAUUUAAACUUUAGGAAAUUAGUUUAAAUAUACAGAUAUAUUCUUCAGUUCUAUGAAGCACUAUAAAAAAAAUUCCAUAAAAAGUACUUUCCAUCCUUGUUGUAUAUGUAGUUGACACCAGUGUGGCUAUAUACUGUAUAUAUAUAUACACCAGUUAGCACAAUCAAUAAUUCAUUUCAGCUUUCAGGUAUUUGUACCUAUAUGUAAUAUUUUUCCUGAGUAUAUGUGUCUGUUCUGCUAUUUCCAUGACACAAUCUGUAGUUGAAUACAUUGGGCCUGCCUCUGAAGGACAGGACACUGUAGGUUUCCUUACUUUAUAGUAUCUUCUUAGAAACACAGGGAUCUAUUGUGCAUCGUAGUUUCAGCAAAGAGUAAGCGAGUUUGCUGCACAGAAAGGGUAUGUGCCAGAUUGAUUUUUCUCCUCUUCUCAGCACCCUGCCUCCUUUGUGUUUCCGCAUUUGGACAUCCUGGAGCAAAUAUCUCUCAGUUGCUGCCUGACCAGCUGGAAAAGUGGAUGGAUCUUUAAAGGACCAGCUGUAUGCCAGAACACCUGAAACAGGUUGAGACCUCAACCAUGCCUAAGAGCUCUAGUGUCAGACCAAAGUGAAGACCCUCCCACUGUAUGGCAAAAUAUCCAACAUGGCUCCUUCCCUCAGCAGAGGCUAGCAGUGCAGACAGGACUGGAGUCUGACUUAGUGCUGGAGGCAAGAAAACAACUAAAUGAUCAGAAACUGACCUGAGAGAAACAUCUGCAGUAAAGGCUUGCAGCUCAGCAGGAAUGAACAGAGUAGAUGAAUCACUGAAUUGUUUCAUGGGCAUGCGAGUGUUUUGGUGCCAUUUUUUUCUUAACCAUGUUGCGAGCCAGCGUGAUUUAUUAUUUUUACCCCAAGAGACAUCUGUUACACCAUUCCCUGUUUUUGUAAUGCAUCAUCAGCCAGAGGAAAAGUAAUAUUAUCCAGCCUGGGAUAUUGCACUCUGGAGUCUAAUAAUCUAAUGUAUACUAGGGCUGUUGUCAUUAAAUUGCCAGUGGAGCUGUUGGAAGAUGCUGGUCAGUGUUUCCUCCCUGAAGUGUCUGAAUAUCGACCAGGCCUCAGUGACACCACACCUGCUGGAAAUUUCAGGUAUUUGACUACAAGAGGAAUGCUGAUUGCAAGAGGAGAGAGGCAGCAGAUGAAUCAAAAUCUCAUAGCCUUUGUUUUUUAUCUGCUAUUAUAGUUGCAGAGUUGGAAAACUUUCUUCUGAAGACCUUAUCCCUGAGGGGACUCUGCCCUUUGCAGACAUUUCUAACAUUUUGGAAAUUACUACGAUUGAGAAGAUUCUACUUUUAGUAUUAUAAUGACCUUCAAUCAUCAGUGAAAAGAACUAAAACAUGUUCAAUUGGUGUAAUAUAAAAAAAUACAUAAAAUGAACAGUGAAUAAAGGCUGUGAAAUCACAGUCACAGGCUAAUUGUUCUGUGAAGACUUUGAGUUUUUCUGAUUAAUGUCAGAGUACCUUAAAGCACUAUGUUGUACUUUUAUCUUUUAUAUAUUGAUCUUUAUUGUGAUUAUUGCAUUUCUGUAUGUUGACAUCUACAAAAGAAGGUAUGCUUAAGUAGCACCCAGAAACUACUCCUAAAGUAAAAUGCCCACAAGUCAAAACAGCCAAAAUCUUAAUGAGUCUGGCCAGAUAGAAAAGGAAUUUCUGCAAAAUAAAAGAAUAAUAAAGGUAUCAAACCCUUAACAAGUC